rnacentral:rRNA from 1 species
UACGUAGGGUGCGAGCGUUAAUCGGAAUUACUGGGCGUAAAGCGUGCGCAGGCGGCUUUGCAAGACAGAUGUGAAAUCCCCGGGCUCAACCUGGGAACUGCAUUUGUGACUGCAAGGCUAGAGUACGGCAGAGGGGGAUGGAAUUCCGCGUGUAGCAGUGAAAUGCGUAGAUAUGCGGAGGAACACCAAUGGCGAAGGCAAUCCCCUGGGCCUGUACUGACGCUCAUGCACGAAAGCGAGGGGAGCAAACAGG